rnacentral:rRNA from 1 species
GACGUAGGGCGCGAGCGUUGUCCGGAUUUAUUGGGCGUAAAGAGCUCGUAGGCGGCUUGUCGCGUCGUCCGAUGUGAAAGCCCAGGGCUCAACCCUGGACGUGCAUUGGAUACGACGGCGCUGGAGUCCUGAAGAGGAGGGCGGAAUUCCCGGUGUAGAGGUGAAAUUCGUAGAUAUCGGGAGGAACACCAGUGGCGAAGGCGGCUCUCUGGGACAGGUACUGACGCUGAGACGCGAAAAGCGUGGGUAGCAAACAGG